rnacentral:rRNA from 1 species
AUUGAACGCUGGCGGCAGGCCUAACACAUGCAAGUCGAGCGGAUGAACGGAGCUUUCUCCUGGCUUCUGCUUCGGACGGGUGUGUUAUUCCUAUGAAUCUGCCUGGUCGUUGGUUCUAACGUCCGUUCACGGGCGCUAAUCCCGCAUCCGUCCUGAGUUAGAAAGUUGUGGUUCUUCUGUCCUCACGCUUUCAGCUGUGCCUAGGUCGGAUUAGCUAGUUGGUGUGGGAAAGGCCUACCAAGGCGACGAUCCGUAACUGAUCUGAGAGGAUGAUCAGUCACACUGGAACUGAGACACGGUCCAGACUCCUACGGGAGGCAGCAGUGGGGAAUAUUGGACAAUGGGCGAAAGCAUGAAGGAGCAAUGCCGCGUGAGUGAAGAAGGUCUUCGGAUGGGAAAGCACUGUAAGUAGGGAGGAAGGGAAGUAAGAUAAAAACUUGAUGUAUUGACGGUAACAACAGAAAAAGCAACGGCUAACUACGUG